rnacentral:rRNA from 1 species
GCAGGCCUAACACAUGCAAGUCGAACGGCAGCACAGGGGAGCUUGCUCCCUGGGUGGCGAGUGGCGGACGGGUGAGGAAUGCAUCGGAAUCUGCCCCGUUGUGGGGGAUAACUUGGGGAAACUCAAGCUAAUACCGCAUACGACCUACGGGUGAAAGUGGGGGACCUUCGGGCCUCACGCGAUGGGAUGAGCCGAUGCCGGAUUAGCUAGUUGGUGGGGUAAAGGCCCACCAAGGCGACGAUCCGUAGCUGGUCUGAGAGGAUGAUCAGCCACACUGGGACUGAGACACGGCCCAGACUCCUACGGGAGGCAGCAGUGGGGAAUAUUGGACAAUGGGCGCAAGCCUGAUCCAGCCAUGCCGCGUGUGUGAAGAGGGCCUUCGGGUUGUAAAGCACUUUUGUUGGGGAAGAAACAGCGCCGGCCAAUACCCGGCGUGAAUGACGGUACCCAAAGAAUAAGCACCGGCUAACUUCGUGCCAGCAGCCGCGGUAAUACGAAGGGUGCAAGCGUUACUCGGAAUUACUGGGCGUAAAGCGUGCGUAGGCGGUUUGUUAAGUCUGAUGUGAAAGCCCCGGGCUCAACCUGGGAAUGGCAUUGGAUACUGGCAGGCUAGAAUGUGGUAGAGGGUGGUGGAAUUCCCGGUGUAGCGGUGAAAUGCGUAAAGAUCGGGAGGAACAUCCGUGGCGAAGGCGGCCACCUGGACCAACAUUGACGCUGAGGCACGAAAGCGUGGGGAGCAACAGGAUUAAAUACCUGUA